ACAACUCCUUCGCGAAAUGGAAGCCACUCAUCGCUUCUCAAGUGAUGGGGAGCAUCCACAGGGUUCAUUAUCCCUGAGUGUUUUA
rnacentral:tRNA from 1 species